GUGCCAGCCGCCGCGGUAAUACGGAGGGCGCAAGCGUUGUUCGGAAUUACUGGGCGUAAAGCGCGUGUAGGCGGCCAGGUAAGUCGGGUGUGAAAUCCCGGGGCCCAACCCCGGAACUGCACCCGAUACUGCCCGGCUGGAGUCCCGGAGAGGAUGGCGGAAUUUCCGGUGUAGAGGUGAAAUUCGUAGAUAUCGGAAGGAACACCAGUGGCGAAGGCGGCCAUCUGGACGGUGACUGACGCUGAGACGCGAAAGCGUGGGGAGCAAACAGGAUUAGAUACCCGUGUAGUCC
rnacentral:rRNA from 1 species